rnacentral:lncRNA from 1 species
UGCCCACUGCUGCCUGUCCCUGAGCGUCCCACCCAAGCCCAGCAGGGAGGGCAGGCCUUAAGACGCUCCUAGCUGGGUUGGGAGGUGGCCCUAAGGAGGCCCUGCUGUCCAGGCAGUGCUGCCAGCAAGCACCCCAGGUCAGAUGUCCCUGCUGCCCAGAUAUCUGGCGUGGUGUCCUCUGGUAGGGGAGAACGGGUCUGCCUGAGGGUCUACAGUUCUGAGCCUUAAGGACAGGAACCUGGGCAGUGGGGGGCACAAUCAGUGACCGAGCCCUGGCUCCCAUCUCCAGGGUACCUCUGCCAGAC